rnacentral:rRNA from 1 species
GGAUUGCCUCAGUAACGGCGAGUGAAGCGGCAACAGCUCAAAUUUGAAAUCUGGCCUCGGCCCGAGUUGUAAUUUGGAGAGGAUGCUUUGGGGUCGUCCCCGGCCCAAGUCCCUUGGAACAGGGCGUCGCAGAGGGUGAGAAUCCCGUACACGGCCGGGUGCCGGCCCCGUGUAAAGCUCCUUCGACGAGUCGAGUUGUUUGGGAAUGCAGCUCCAAAUGGGAGGUAUAUUUCUUCUAAAGCUAAAUACCGGCCAGAGACCGAUAGCGCACAAGUAGAGUGAUCGAAAGAUGAAAAGCACUUUGGAAAGAGAGUUAAACAGUACGUGAAAUUGUUGAAAGGGAAGCGUUUGCGGCCAGACUUGAUGGCGGUUGCUCAGCCGGUCUUUGCCCGGUGCACUCUUCCACCCUCAGGCCAGCAUCAGCUUGGGUGGCCGGAAAAAGGCGUUGGGAACGUGGCUCUCCGGAGUGUUACAGCCCUUCGCACAAUACGGCCCGCCCUGACUGAGGACAGCGUUCGCUUGGAUGCUGGCGUAAUGGCAGCCAACGGCCCGUCUUGAAACACGGACCAAGGAGUCUAGCACAUGUGCGAGUGUUUGGGUGUCAAACCCGUACGCGCAAUGAAAGUGAACGGAGGUGGGAACUUUUGUGCACCAUCGACCGAUCCUGAUGUCUUCGGAAGGAUUUGAGUAUGAGCACACGUGCUGGGACCCGAAAGAUGAUGAACUAUGCCUAAAUAGACUGAAGCCGCCCGAAAGGGCGGUGGAAGGUCGCAGCGGUUCUGACGUGCAAAUCGAUCGUCAAAUUUGGGUAUAGGGGCGAAAGACUAAUCGAAUCAUGAACCUCCCCCACUAGGUGAUUAGGAGGCGAGCCUCACCAGCCGCCUGGUGUCGGAAGAUGCAAUAUCGUUAAAUUGCGGGGACUGGCGUGAACCGCUUGGCUACCAGAGCCUGCCCGAAAGGGCCGGUCUCCCCCCUGCGCGCGACGGUGCGUCGGGGUACGGUAAGGACGCCGGCGGGUGCCAGAUCCGCAGCCAACCCCGAGGGUAGUACCAGCCCUCGGGUGCAGUUCACAGACUAGAAAUCGGUAGGUACCCCAUCCGCGGGUGCUUAAGGUAUAGUCGAUGCCCCCCAAAAGGGGGUUACGGGAUCCUCCUACGUCCUGGAGGUCCCUAGGAGCCGUGGAAGCUAGUAGCUGGUUCCAGCCGAAGUUUCCCUCAGGAUAGCAGUGACGAUUCAGUUUUAUGAGGUAAAGCGAAUGAUUAGAGGCCUUGGGGUUGAAACAACCUUAACCUAUUCUCAA